rnacentral:misc_RNA from 1 species
UUAAUAUCCAGCGCAUAGGCAGCGAAGUAGCUAUUUUUGCAGCAAAUAAGGAUCGUAAAGAAGUAGAUUUUAAGCAAGUCCUGCACUUUAUGAUGACAGAUGAAGGAGCGCAGAAUGCUGUUAUUCCUAUCCCCUUGGGUGUGGACUAUACGGGAAAAUUCUCAUACAUUGA